AGAGUUUGAUCCCUGGCUCAGGAUGAACGCUAGCGGGAGGCUUAACACAUGCAAGUCGAGGGGGUAACAGGAGGUAGCAAUACUUUGCUGACGACCGGCGCACGGGUGAGUAACGCGUAUGUAACCUACCUUGUACAGGGGAAUAGCCCGGAGAAAUUCGGAUUAAUGCCCCAUAAUGAUAUUGAGUGGCAUCACUUGAUAUUUAAAGUUCCGACGGUACAGGAUGGGCAUGCGUAACAUUAGCUAGUUGGUAGGGUAACGGCCUACCAAGGCUGCGAUGUUUAGGGGUCCUGAGAGGGUGAUCCCCCACACUGGUACUGAGACACGGACCAGACUCCUACGGGAGGCAGCAGUGAGGAAUAUUGGUCAAUGGGCGCAAGCCUGAACCAGCCAUCCCGCGUGAAGGAAGAAGGCGCUAUGCGUUGUAAACUUCUUUUUCAGGGGAAGAAAAUCUUCUACGUGUAGAGGAUUGACGGUACCCUGUGAAUAAGCAUCGGCUAACUCCGUGCCAGCAGCCGCGGUAAUACGGAGGAUGCGAGCGUUAUCCGGAUUUAUUGGGUUUAAAGGGUGCGUAGGCGGAUUAAUAAGUCAGUGGUGAAAACCUGCAGCUUAACUGUAGAACUGCCAUUGAUACUGUUAGUCUUGAGUACGGUCAAGGUAGGCGGAAUGUGUAAUGUAGCGGUGAAAUGCUUAGAUAUUACACAGAACACCGAUUGCGAAGGCAGCUUACUGGGCCAUUACUGACGCUGAGGCACGAAAGCGUGGGGAGCGAACAGGAUUAGAUACCCUGGUAGUCCACGCCGUAAACGAUGAUCACUCGCUGUUGGCGAUACACAGUCAGCGGCUAAGCAAAAGCAUUAAGUGAUCCACCUGGGGAGUACGGCCGCAAGGCUGAAACUCAAAGGAAUUGACGG
rnacentral:rRNA from 1 species